rnacentral:snRNA from 1 species
GAUCCGGGAAUCAUCCGAUAAAAUUGGAAGGAUACAGAGAAGACUAGCAUGGCCCCUAGGAUGACACGCACAAAUCGAGAAGUGUACCAAGCGUAA